rnacentral:misc_RNA from 1 species
GGUCGGCCCGCGCACAACUUUCGACUUUCUUUACCAAUUCGACCCUUGAUCUUGAUUCUCAAUUCUCUAUUGUCGCUCUGCUCCUCUUUACACCCAUCCGUCAACAUUUUUCGUCAACAUUCCUCCGAAAUCUCACAGCCAUCGACGGAUUUACGUUCACCUACACCUAGCGUCACAGCGCUAUUAGCGUCCCACGCCAACCCGACAAUAACCUCAUCCACUCUCCAGCGAGGUCUCGAUUCAAUGGAAAAGUGGUUCCACAAAUGGGGCUUCAAAAUUAAUGAAAAAAAAUCUACAAAUGUCUCCAUUAACAAUAUAACAGUUCCCAACAAGGACAGUCAGAUACCUGGGC